GAAGAAGAGAACACAUCAGUAUUUAAUAGGCAAUAAAUUAUGAAACAUCACAGACUUAUCUCCUAAAUUGAUUUGUUUGUCAAAUAAUAAUUUAUUAUUGAAGACAAUAAUGUAAUAAUGUAUAUUUUUAAACAAUCUUUACUUAUUGACAUACUUAACAGACUAUAAUAAUAUUAAUGUAGUAUUUUGUGAUCUUACUUGAGAGCUAGAGACUGGGAAUAUUGUCCUGGUGUAUAUGGGGCAGGUUAUCUAGUCAGGAGAUGAUAACUUGUCAUUUCAUCACAAAUAAAUACAAGUUUGCUUCUUUGCCUUUACCUGAUGAAGACAAUCGGUUAAAAUAAUUCUAAUCACAUCCACAUCAAAUAAAAGACUUGGGGAAAGUUUAUUCACUACAGAAGUACUUUUUAAUUGGGAAACAAGCCAGGAGAGGGACAUACGUACACAAAUUUGCAAAAUCUGUGAAAACUCUAUACUGUGUGUUAGCUCGAGUGUGUGUAACUACCUGGGAUUUUAUUUAGAUUUCAUUUUUUCGUGAUAAAAGAAAGGGGUAUUAAUGAGUUAGUAGUGAUAAAAAAAAGACCACUACGACUUUAUAGUGUGGUUAAUAUGACCUGAAGUAACAACUCACCAAGCUGAAUUUUUUAAACAGUAUGUCAAAACGUCUACCAGAAUAAGUAUCUCUUGUCUGAAUAACUUCUUUAUCCUAAUCUGCCAUUGUCCCUUGUAUGUUUCAGACUUAAUGACGUUGGCAGUCUUCAUCACAAUUGUUGUUGCACUACUGGUAGUAGUGUGCGCACUGCUGUUAGUUAUCAGGGCUCAGAAGACUCGCCAUUGCCUCCUUAAGAGCAAAGUUGCUAUGAACCUAGGCGUAACAAAUGGAGAGGGAAAAGAGGUACCAAAAGCAACAGAGGAGGACAUUUAUGUCAACACUGCUGAUAUCUUUAAGUAGAGCAGUCAUCUGGUAAUCUGAAGGUUCCUGGUUCAAUCAACGGCUCCUCCUGAGAGAGUGUUGAAGUGUCUUUGAGCAAGAUGCUGAACCCAGCUGCUGGUUGGCACCUUCGAUAGAUAAAGUGGAGCCUAGAAAUGGGAAGAAGGAAGUGGAAUAUGAAUAUACCCUGGUUACAUUUUAAAACGAGCGCUAUGCACAAUUAGAUCACAGCUUUAUUUUGGAAUUUAUUUUCAGAAUAUCUUGCUCUCUUGUUUGUUUAUCUUCUUUUUUGUUGUUGCUUUUAAUCCAGCUAUAUCACAGAUAUUUAGAUCAACAGAAGCACGUUUUUGUUUUCAAGGCCACAGGAUUUUUAAGACCUUGACAGAUUUAUCAUUGGAGAAUGUUGUUUUGUGCAUAAGUGCAUAAUAUACUGUAUUUUCAUGUUUAUUUCUGCUGUUUUACAUUAAUUUGGCAGUGUGACUUAAUUUUUAAAUUCUUAUUUUUAACAUUUACUUUUUGCUAAAACUGAACUGCUCUAGAUGUAUAAACAUGAAAAUGAAGCAGGAGAAUUUGAAUAGAGGAGGACAUUUAUGUCAACACUGCUGAUACCUCGCUCUGGAAGUAGUGCAGGUUGUCUAGUAAUCAGAAGGUUACUGGUUUGAUCCCCAGCUCCUCCACAGAGAGUGUUGACGUGUCCUUGAGCAAAACACUGAACCCUUAACUGCUGGUUGGCACCUUGGAUAGAUGAAGUGGAGACCUGGGCCGGUAUUUAUCAAGCUUCUCAAAGUGCCAUUUAGUCAUAAGUGCUGAGAAUUCAUGAAAUUUACUCCUACUUUUAAACUUAAGAAUAAAAGCAAGUUAGCAAAUUUCUCAAAGUUA